rnacentral:hammerhead_ribozyme from 1 species
AUCUAACUGACGAGUCCCAAAUAGGGGGAAAAACACGCGUCUUGGAC